rnacentral:rRNA from 1 species
AACUCAGGAUCACUCGUGUUACACUGCAAUCGCGUGUCGCCCUUAUCUGGUUGAUCCUGCCAGUAGUCAUACGCUCGUCUCAAAGAUUAAGCCAUGCAUGUGUAAGUAUAAAUAUUUAACUUUGAAACUGCGAAUGGCUCAUUAUAUCAGUUAUAGUUUAUUUGAUGAAAAGUACUACUUGGAUAACCGUAGUAAUUCUAGAGCUAAUACAUGACCAAAUCCUCGACUUUGAAGAGGUGUAUUUAUUAGAAUGAAACCAAUAGACUUCGGUCUGUUUGUGAGUAAUAAUAACUAAUCGUAUCGCAUGCUUAGGUAGCGAUAUGUCUUUCAAGUUUCUGCCCUAUCAGCUUUGGAUGGUAGUGUAUUGGACUACCAUGGCAGUAACGGGUAACGAAGAAUUUGGGUUCGAUUUCGGAGAGGGAGCCUGAGAGAUGGCUACCACAUCCAAGGAAGGCAGCAGGCGCGUAAAUUACCCAAUCCUGACAUAGGGAGGUAGUGACAAUAAAUCACAAUGCGGAACUAUUAGUUUUGCAAUUGGAUUGAGAACAAUGUACAAAUGUUAUCGAUAAACAAUUGGAGGGCAAGUCUGGUGCCAGCAGCCGCGGUAAUUCCAGCUCCAAUAGCGUAUAUUAACGUUGUUGCAGUUAAAAAGCUCAAGGGCGACACGCGAUUGCAGUCUUGAGUCCACCUGAAGGAUGUCAACUGGUCUAUUC